rfam:Myotis brandtii contig160068, whole genome shotgun sequence.
GCCAGUGUGGCUCAAUGGUUGGAGCAUCAGUCCAUACACCCAAGGGUUUUAUUCCCAAUCAAAGGCACAUACUGGUGUUGCAGGUUCAAUUCCCUGCCCCAGUCA